GACGAACGCUGGCGGCGUGCUUAACACAUGCAAGUCGAACGGAAAGGCCCUGCUUGCAGGGUACUCGAGUGGCGAACGGGCGAGUAACACGUGGGUGAUCUGCCCUGCACUUCGGGAUAAGCCUGGGAAACUGGGUCUAACACCGGAUAUGACCUUCCAUGUAGUGUGGGGGGUGGAAAGAUUUAUCGGUGUGGGAUGAGCCCGCGGCCUAUCAGCUUGUUGGUGGGGUAAUGGCCUACCAAGGCGUCGACGGGUAGCCGGCCUGAGAGGGUGGACGGCCACAUUGGGACUGAGAUACGGCCCAGACUCCUACGGGAGGCAGCAGUGGGGAAUAUUGCACAAUGGGCGGAAGCCUGAUGCAGCGACGCCGCGUGGGGGAUGACGGCCUUCGGGUUGUAAACCUCUUUCGACAGGGACGAAGCUUCGGUGACGGUACCUGUAUAAGAAGCACCGGCUAACUACGUG
rnacentral:rRNA from 1 species